rnacentral:rRNA from 1 species
GUAAUCGCGGAUCAGAAUGCCGCGGUGAAUACGUUCCCGGGUCUUGUACACACCGCCCGUCACACCAUGGGAGUCGGAAAUGCCCGAAGUCUGUGACCCAACCUGAGAGGGAGGGAGCGGCCGAAGGCAGGUCUGAUGACUGGGGUGAAGUCGUAACAAGGUAUC